rnacentral:lncRNA from 1 species
GAUUGCAUGAAAAAGCUCAGUUUAGAGUUUAAAACUCUCUAAUGCUGGCUGAAAGGAAAAAGUUCAGUUUAGGGUUUAAAACCCUAAUGCUGACUAAAAGGAAAAUUCAGUCUAGGGUUUAAAACCCUAAUGCUGAUUGCAUGAAAAAGCUCAGUUUAGAGUUUAAAACUCUAAUGCUGGCUAAAAGGAAAAAGUUCAGUUUAGGGUUUAAAACCCUAAUGCUGACUAAAAGGAAAACUCAGUUUAGGGUUUAAAACCCUAAUGCUGAUUGCAUGAAAAAGCUCAGUUUAGAGUUUAAAACUCUAAUGCUGGCUAAAAGGAAAAGUUCAGUUUAAGGUUUAAAACCCUAAUGCUGACUAAAGGGAAAAUUCAGUUUAGGGUUUAAAACCCUAACGCUGAUUGCAUGAAAAAGCUCAGUUUAGAGUUUAAGACUCUAAUGCUGGCUAAAAGGAAAAGUUCAGUUUAAGGUUUAAAACCCUAAUGCUGACUAAAAGGAGAAUUC